GUGAGAUAGACAAACAUCGUGUUGAAUAUAAUACAGGUAUCAAGAUGGUAAUUUAUACCGGAGCUUGAAAACUAUUUUAUUCUUCGAAUGCCUUCUUUGGUGGACAUACCAACAAUAUUAGAAUCCUAUAAAACAGUUGAUAAGAAAACAUUCUUCAAAACUGCAGAUAUAUGUCAGAUGCUUGUUUGUUCAAAUUAAGGAGAAGACAGCGGAAGUGGUCGAUAUGAAAAACCUCAAAAAACACUGGCAAAGUCAACAAGUAGUUUCUACAUUAACUAACACCUCUACUAAAGAAUGUGAGAAAACAAAGGUUCAGGAAAACAGUGAAGAAAAAG